rnacentral:rRNA from 1 species
UACGAAGGGGGCUAGCGUUGUUCGGAUUUACUGGGCGUAAAGCGCACGUAGGCGGAUCGUUAAGUCAGGGGUGAAAUCCUGGGGCUCAACCCCAGAACUGCCUUUGAUACUGGCGAUCUCGAGUCCGGAAGAGGUGAGUGGAACUCCUAGUGUAGAGGUGGAAUUCGUAGAUAUUAGGAAGAACACCCGUGGCGAAGGCGGCUCUCUGGAACGCAACUGACGCUGAGACGCGAAAGCGUGGGGAGCAAACAGG